CUACGGGUCGCAGCAGUGGGGAAUAUUGGACAAUGGGCGCAAGCCUGAUCCAGCAAUGCCGCGUGUGUGAAGAAGGCCUUCGGGUUGUAAAGCACUUUAAGUUGGGAAGAAAAAACUCGCUCUAACACAGUGAGUCUUGACGGUACCGACAGAAUAAGCACCGGCUAACUCUGUGCCAGCAGCCGCGGUAAUACAGAGGGUGCAAGCGUUAAUCGGAUUUACUAGGCGUAAAGCGUGCGUAGGCGGUUCGUUAAGUCGAUUGUGAAAGCCCUGGGCUUAACCUGGGAAUUGCAGUCGAUACUGGCGGACUAGAGAACGGUAGAGGGAGGCGGAACUCCAGGUGUAGCGGUGAAAUGCGUAGAUAUCUGGAAGAACACCGAUGGCGAAGGCAACCUCCUGGGCCUGUUCUGACGCUGAGGCACGAAAGCGUGGGUAGCAAACAGGAUUAGAUACCCUCGUAGUC
rnacentral:rRNA from 1 species